rnacentral:lncRNA from 1 species
CCGCCGCCUUAGGAGCGGGAGCCGCAUUUUCCGGAAUUUUGGUCUCCUGCGAAACCGGUGCCGGUGCCGGUAAUGAAGGAGAAGAAGAAGAAGAAGAAGAAGAAGGAGAAGAGGUGGCCUUGGCCUUGGCCUCGGCGAUCUCCUCUUGGGUCUCGGCCAGGAGAGCAAUAGCGGACCCCACUGGGGCAACGCCGCCUUCUUCGACCAUAAUAGAGGCCAAGUAACCGUCGUAGAAAGUCUCGACGUCCA